GAAGAAACAAGAUGGAUGCAAAACAUUAUUAUGUGGAUUACGCAAGCGCUUUCACUGCUGUGUUUAUUUUAGCCUCAUUCUCUUUUGCUCUCUCCCCUUUUAGCUGCCAGAUCUACGAGAGAGAGAGAGACAGCGAGAGAAAGGAUAUCCAGUGAUUUCAGUGUAACUGAUCAGGCUCACGGAGCUGAAGGCAUCAACAUCUGAGUGAGGAAACAAAUUGCACUGGUAUUUCUCCAGGAAUGAAGAUCAGGUCUUGAUGGAAUUUGAAUCCCUGACUAUGACUGCUGAAGGAAACCACACUGCAAUCUGAGCUAAGAGGAAGAUGAGAAAGCACAACCUGACACUGGAUUUG